UCGCGAAGAUCCCAGCAGAGAGGUGCGCUGAUGCCUCCCUAACAAUCAUAAUCUUCGCAGAGAAACGCUCAUGAUCCGUGGUUUCGUGGAUGUGUGAUUUGGAUUUUUGUUCCAUUACAUCUGUUUCCACGGCGACAUUUU
rnacentral:snoRNA from 1 species